AGACAGCAUAUUGCCUACGCAGCAUAGUUAACAAUGGGUGAGAUAAACAGCUAAAAGCUAUAAUCAGUAAUUGCAAAAAGGAGAAAACUUUAGUACCUAGAUACUUAAUCAUCAACGGCUGUUUGCUGGUUUCAAUCUCUGUUUGUUUUGUUCUAUAUAUAUCUAUGUCCAUUAGAGAUAUGAUAUUUUUCAACCACUGGAUGGUAUUACCAAAAUUAGUUUCUAAAAGAGCUCUAUAUAAUUGGCUUAAGGAUUCCUGGCAGCCUAACCAGGUGAUUAAAGAAGGUCAUCUCCUGCCUGGUGCAGAAACCUCAAGAUAUGUUGGGAGUCUCAAGAAGAGAGGCAUUCACCCAAAUCUAUAGGUAUUACAGGCAGAGUGUGAUGAAUCAUUGAGAACUAAAGCUUCCUUUUCCUGGAAGCCCUGUGAGCUGAAGCUGAACAAGUUGAUAUAAACUUAAGAGCGAUCACCACAAUAGCCUGUGUUUAGACAAUCUCCAUGCCUGUUUCUGUAAUGAGAACUCCACAAGGCUAGAGACUUUGCCUUGCUCAUUUCUGUGUCCCCGCUGCCUAGAACAGUGCUGGCCCACAGUAGAUGUUCAGUAAAGAUGAGUCAAAGGGACUAAUGAAGGAAGAAUACUGCACAACAGACAUGUUGGUGAAAUUGGUGGAGGAGGUAGAACUGGGAGCUACCAAACGGUGGAAUCAGGAUCCCAAAAGACCUCGAGAGCCACGCCUGAAGCUAAUAUUACAAGCAUUACGAUUUUACAUCAAGUUGGGAAGUACCCAAAAGCUGAAUCCGAGUCCAUGCAGAUUUUUCCAGAAGCCAGAGGACACCCCAGGGUGAGGAUCAUCUCCACCCGCUCUGUCUCAGCCACAGAAGGAAAAUGACGUGUCUCUGCGGGGCGCGAAGAGCAAGCUGCGCCGCUGGGAGCCCGCGGUCCCCUGCUCCAUCAGCAGGGCGCCUCUGGGUCUGUCAUUGUGGUGAAGCUGGGACCCGGCCUCCAGUGGGGCUACACUGCGUGGCCCCAGGCUAAUUCGGUACAGGUGCUGUGCCACUGCGUUGGGGUCCCCUCCCUGCAGGCUCUGACGGGCCAUCAUCUCGUCCUCCCCAGGGCUUCUCCCAUGCCUUGGCGGAAUGGCUUUGUGCCCCAACAAUGUGUAAAUGCCGAUGCUAUUUAACCCUUUGAAACUCUAAUUUUAUAAACAUAAUUCAUCUUAUCAAUCAUGCUAUUAUACAAUGUUUAUAAUAGAUCUAUUUUCUCUAUCUUCAUUGAGCAUCAUAAAGAUAUGUACGUUUCUAUGGACAAGAAUACACAGGCCAAAACCACAUGAGCAUGUACUUUACUUUUCCUUUAUUUCUAAAUUUAAAAUUCUUUGUUUGGAAAAUUUUCAGAUACAUCAAGUUUACUCCCUAACUACCUCAGUUGAGACUUAGAGGUCUCAAGUCAAUUAGGGAACCUUAGGAAAUGUGUUUUAAGUUGAUAUUAAAGAAAAUAUAAUCACCGUUAUUGUGACAAAUUUGCUGGAGAGACAACACCCAGGACAGUGAAGAUGGAGCGAUUCUCUAGGUUCAUGUAUUCUGCAGUGUUUUACACGAAGCCGUUAGUCGUUCAAUACACAUGCUUACAUCUACAGUCUUAAAUAUUUCAUGUAAGUAACAAGCACCUCUGACAAGUAUAAGGAAUUUGGUAUAUUCUAUUUAAUUAAGCUU
rnacentral:lncRNA from 1 species